rnacentral:rRNA from 1 species
UACGUAGGGGGGCGAGCGUUGUCCGGAUUCAUUGGGCGUAAAGCGCUUUAAGGCGGUUCGGUAAGUCGGGUGUGAAACCUCCAGGCUCAACCUGGAGACGCCACUCGAUACUGCUGUGACUAGAGUUCGGUAGGGGAUCACGGAAUUCCUGGUGUAGCGGUGAAAUGCGCAGAUAUCAGGAGGAACACCGGUGGCGAAGGCGGUGAUCUGGGCCGACACUGACGCUGUAGAGCGAAAGCGUGGGGAGCGAACAGG